ACGCUCGACACCUACGGGAGGCAGCAGUGGGGAAUAUUGCACAAUGGGGGAAACCCUGAUGCAGCGACGCCGCGUGGAGGAAGAAGGUCUUCGGAUUGUAAACUCCUGUUGUUGGGGAAAAAGAGGAUGGUACCCAACAAGGAAGUGACGGCUAACUACGUGCCUGCAGCCGCGGUAAUCUGAGCGGGCUGGCAAGGC
rnacentral:rRNA from 1 species